rnacentral:lncRNA from 10 species
UCCUUGUCCCCUUCAUUCUUCUUUUCUCACUGUGCUUUGAUACUCUCUUUCUGCUUUUUCCCUUUUCUGUCUCCUUCCCUUGCCAUAUUCUCAUAUUCUGUUUCUGUUCCUCUUACUACCCCUAUCCUCUGCUUUCUUUCUGGUCUGCCUCUACCCUUUCUGAAUAGCCCACGCGCCCAGCCAGUACUGGGGUGGCUGGGGCCAGUAGCUCCCUGGGCCCCUCUGGCUCAGCGUCAGCAGGUGAGCUGAGCAGCAGUGAGCCCAGCACCCCGGCUCAGACUCCGCUGGCAGCACCCAUCAUCCCCACGCCGGUCCUCACCUCUCCUGGAGCAGUCCCCCCGCUUCCUUCCCCAUCCAAGGAGGAGGAGGGACUAAGGGCUCAGGUGCGGGACCUGGAGGAGAAACUAGAGACCCUGAGACUGAAACGGGCAGAAGACAAAGCAAAGCUAAAAGAGCUGGAGAAACACAAAAUCCAGCUGGAGCAGGUGCAGGAAUGGAAGAGCAAAAUGCAGGAGCAGCAGGCCGACCUGCAGCGGCGCCUCAAGGAGGCGAGAAAG